AUUUAAAUAGUUUAAUUUAAAAUAUUGAUUUGUGGAAUCAAAGUUAUAAUAAUAAUUAUUUUAAAUA
rnacentral:tRNA from 1 species